rnacentral:rRNA from 1 species
UACGUAGGGUGCAAGCGUUAAUCGGAAUUACUGGGCGUAAAGCGUGCGCAGGCGGUGAUGUAAGACAGUUGUGAAAUCCCCGGGCUCAACCUGGGAACUGCAUCUGUGACUGCAUCGCUGGAGUGCGGCAGAGGGGGGGUAGAAUUCCACGUGUAGCAGUGAAAUGCGUAGAGAUGUGGAGGAACACCGAUGGCGAAGGCA